rnacentral:lncRNA from 10 species
GGGGGGGGCGCUUACAAAAUGUUACAGUUUGGAGUAACAUUCUUGCCUCCUACUUUACUAUAAAAGAAAGAUGAGAGUUGUUCAUUAUGUGGCUGCUUCCUGCUGAAUAGGGGCACUGUAGUCAGGGUUUGGGUUUUGAAGUACUGCGUGUCGUCUUCAGAGUUGUUUUCCUGGAGGCGCUGAUACCGGACUUGGUGGAGAAGGAUGGUAUGAAUGUGUUUCUAGGUGGCUGCCUGGACAAGGGAGUUCAGCCUUUGGGAGAUAAAGCAGAAUAUAAAGGUGAGUACACAGGAGUAGUUUUUAGUAUUAUGAGGGAAGAAAACUAAGGGCUCUAAGAAGGGGUUACCAAGGCAUCCACUUUAGAAACAAUGACCCCUGCCACCAAGAGUUAGUAACUUGAUGGAUUUCUGCAGCCCUGUCAUGGAGCCUUAGGGCCGCGUCAUGAAUAAUGCUGGAUUCAUUAACAUAAAAACAGCAUUGGUUUUGGAAGUAUACACAUAUGUCCCCCUUCUCAGCGAUUAACAGGUCUAGAGCCCUUUGGUUUUGAAGGACGACUCCCACAAAGGCGUCUAUCUGCCUUUGGAGGCUUGUCAUGGAAGUGUGCAUGUCCUCUAGGGUAUCAUAGAAAACUGCAGAGAUUUUGUUAUAUAGGGCAGUUGAGGGUGAUAUCCCUGCUAUUCCAGUGCCAAGUGCAGCAGAGAUGCUUAAUCCUGUUACCAGAGGAAUGAGAUGUAGAGCCCGCUUAGUGCAUGUAGAGGAAGAUGAGACAGAAGCUGCUAAAGGAACCUGGAUGCUCUGGUUGUUUGGUAGGAUGUUAAUGUUUGGGGACUGAAAUACUAGGGUGCCUGUUCCUGACCAAUUGGCCAGUAGGCAGAGAUAAGAGUUUGUUUCACACAGAAGAGACUUGGGGUGGACAGGGAAAAGUUGUAAGUGAAGGUAGUGAGCCAUGAGAAGGAGGGGUUGAAUCCUGAAUAAACAUUUUGUCCCAACUUUCUGUUUUUCCAAGUUGAAUAGUUGGUAGCAAGGGUUGUCCCUGUGAGGGCCUGAUAGGGAAUAUUGAUGGGGAAGGAGGUGAAGGCUUUUUGGUUUUGGAGAGAGAGAAAGAGAUGGGUUUUGGUAACUAAUAGCCAUUGUGGUUCUGACAGGGCAGAAGGAUAAAGGUUGCAGUUGAGGGAAUCAUGUGCAUUUUUUUUUUCCAGGAAGCACACUUGAGUUUGAUACAUGGAGAGCUGCACCAGCAGAGAGGGGCAGGGUUGGUAAGGAGGUGUUUUAUGAAAUCCAGCUUGAAACAUGUUUCGUUUAGAGGCCAUGAAGUAAAGGAGGGCGACAUCCCAGUGUGUGACAGUGUGGGUUUAUUUGAUGGAUUGGGGGAAAGGUGUUUAGCUGAGCAAGAUUAUAAACAGGUUUUGGGAAUGGAUUGGCUGAGUAGGUGAGAUGCAGGUUUAUUUUGGACCAGGUUUAUGUGGUUAGGUUAACAGGAAGGGCUGUGAUUUGCUGGAUUUAUGUGGACAAAUAAAUUUAACAGUUGGAAGAAAGAGGGAAGUGUAACUGAUUAAAAGGUAAUGUGUGAGGUUGACAAAGGGGCCCCAACUGCCAAAGGUUGGGGGUGGGGACUUAGAGUAUCCAACAGACAAAGAAGACAAAAAGAAAAAAUAAAAACAAAAACGGAGAUUUGAGUAGGAGUGAUAUCCUGGAAGGUGUCCUGCAGCCAUAGCUCCUGGAUUAAUCUGGAAGUAUCCCACAAGACCCAAGAAGGAGAGGAGGUCCUCCUUUGUGUGGGAAAGAGGAAUAUCCCAAUUUAGCUCAUUUCACUGAGUUGAGAAGGCCUGAGAAUUAGGCGGUAGAGUAAGCCCAAGGUAAGUGACCUGGGUUUGGGCUACCUGAGCCUUUGUGGGUGAGACCCGAUAUCCUUGACUAUGGAGGAAAUUUAAAAGCUGAGUGGUGUGUUCAAAGGACAGGUUAAGGGAGGGGCUACAGAGAAGGAGGUUAUUGACGUAUUAGAGGAGGGUGCUAGGAAUAAGGGGAAGUUCAGCUAGAUUCUUGGUGAGGGCCUGUCUGAAUAGGUGGGGACUAUCCUGGAACCCCUGUGGGAGUAUGAUCCAUGUUAGUUGGGAGGAUGUGUAUUAGGAUUUGACCAAGUGAAAGCAAAAAGACUUUGGGAAGCAAAAUUUAAGGGAAUAGUGAAAAAGGUGUCCUUUAGAUCCAAUACAGAGAAGUGUGUGGUAGAUGAGGGAAUAUGGGAGAGUAGAGUAUAUGAUUGGGACCACCAGAUAGAUAGGCCUAGUUAACAACUCAGAGAUCCUGGACCAAGAGGUAAGACCUGUCUGUCUUAUUGACCACUAGGAUAGGGGUGUUGUGGGGAGAGGUGACAGGCUUGAGAAUUCGAGCUUAUAAAAGUUUACAGAUAAUAGGUUUGAGGUCCCUAAGACCAGCUGGGUUAAGGGGAUUUUGAGACUGACGAAGGAAAAUGGAGGGGUUUUGGAGGGUUAUUGUGACUGGGAUGUGAUGUGUGGCUAUUGUGGGUUUAGAAACGUUUCGAACUUCAGGAUUAACAAAAGGUAACAGGGUGGAUAAUGAGGAUGAGGGGAAGGAGAGGGAAGCAUCUGGGCGGCAGAGUAAAAUAAAAGGGAUGGAAUUGUAGGAGGCAAAUUGUAUGGAGACCUGGGAUUUACUUUGUAUGUCCUGCCCCAAGAUAGGGUAGGACACUGAGGGAUAAUCAGGAAUGGGUGGGUGAAGGGGGUGUUGAAUAGGUUGCAUAAUAGAGAACCAGUCUGUUUGUGCCUAGAGGGGAUUCCAUUGACUCCCACAAAUAGAGAUAGAAGAACUGAGGAGGGGUCCAGAAUAUCCUGGUAAAACUGAGUAACUAGUCACAUAUUUAACAGGAAAAGCAUAAGCUUACCAGAUACUGACAGUGUUACCCUGGGUUCCAAGGCGGUGAUGGCAGUGGGGGGAGUGGAUUCCAGGCCCCAUCAGUCUUCAGUUAGAGGUGGUGAAACGGGAUGAAGAGUUUCGCUGAGCACAGUCCAAUGACCAGUGUUCCUUGAUACCACAGAUGGGGCAAGGUUUUGAGGGUGUCCUGGGAUUAGGGCAGGCUUUUGCCUAGUGACCCUGUUGGCCACACUUCAAACAGGCUUCCGGUGGUUUGUUGCGAGGUUGAGGAUUUUUGUAUGCAUUGGGAACCCUGUUGAACGGCAGCUGCCAGCAUCUGGUGUUUAGCUUGGUCCCUUUUUGGCUUUUGGGUUUUCAGUUUUUCCUCUGUAUUGUUAAAGACCUUAAAGGCCACUUUGAUUAAGUCUCUUUGGGAGAUUUGAGGGUCAUCCUCCAGUUUUUAAAGUUUUAUUUAUUUAUUUAUUUCUGGGGCUGACUGGGAAAUUAAGUGUAAAUGAAGGUAGAUUCUGCCCUUACUGGUAUUAGGGCUUAAGGUGGUAUAUUUAGUCAUGGCCUCUGAAAGGCAGGAGAGGAAAAGAGCAGGGGCAGCUUUGUUCAUGCCAGCUAGGAGGCAUGAUAUUAUAUGGCCCUGUUUCUGUCUGUCUGCAGAAGUUGCCUGAUAAUCCCAGUUGGAAUUAGUUCUGGGGACAGCUAGGGUCCCUACUGGGUUAUGGGCAGCAUCUUGUUGGUGGAGGGUGUUUGCAUGGGCCUGGGCAGCUGUCGAGAUGCAUUCCCUGUGCUCCGGGGUGACGGUGGAGGACAGCAUGACAUAUGUCAUGACAAGUAAGGUCAUAAGAUUGAGUGAUAUUUAGAAAUUCCUUGCAGGAGGUGGAAUUUGUGGGAAAAAAGCCGAGCUUCUUUUCAAGCUGGGAGAGGCUGGCUAGGGAGAAGGAAACAUGAACUCAGAUUGUGCCUUAGGCCCCCACAACCUCCCACAACGGGAGUACUUUGGAGGACCUUUGGGCAUGUGCCUGGUUUUUGGCAAAAGGGGGUUGAGUGUGAGACCUGGUAUGCAGUGGAGAAGGAGGGGGCGAAGGGCAACAAUAAGGGAGUAGAGGAGCCACAGCUGAAUGAGAAGGAGGAGGGGUGGGAUGGAUACAGAGGGAGGGGGUUUGUUAGCCAGGUUGAAAUUAGAGAAGGAAGCCUUGUCUGGAGGAGGAGGUGCUUUUGCAAGAUAUUUGUUGAGGAGGAGGAUUUGAAAAGGUGAACAGGGUUGGCAGAGAGACAACCACAAACAGAGAUAAGCAAAGCACCUCAGAUCAUUUACCAUUGCACAGGAGGAAGUUUUUUACAUUAUGUUGAAUUUGGAAAUUGAAUAUUUUGUUGUUUGGCCAUUGACUAUUAUUGUCCAGUUUACAUUGAAGCUAGGCCACAUUACAGAGGAAGGUACAGAGGCAAGUAAGGUGCUGAGUUUUUU